CUCACCCAUGUGGGUGCUUUUUAGCGGUGGUAGGGGGCGUUUGCUUUUGAGAGUCAGGGUCCAUGGCAAUUAGUCAUGAGUCCUGAGGAAAUCUGAGAUGGACAAAUAUCUUUAUUUACAGCAACAGAUAGAACAGACCCUCCCUCCCUUCCCUUCCUUUCCCCUUCCAGUCUUUUCCAUACUGUUCCCCCUCCCGCCCCACCCCAGGCUCUCGCCUAGCCCUGCCCUCUGGGGUCACUGCGUGGGUUAGGCCCCCAAAAAAGCCUAGGAAAGGAGACUGGAGAGGGC
rnacentral:lncRNA from 1 species